CGUGAUAAGCGGGAGGAAGGUGUGGAUGACGUCAAGUCCUCAUGGCCCUUACGGGUUGGGCUACACACGUGCUACAAUGGUGGUGACAGUGGGUUAAUCCCCAAAAGCCAUCUCAGUUCGGAUUGUCGUCUGCAACUCGACGGCAUGAAGUCGGAAUCGCUAGUAAUCGCGUAACAGCAUGACGCGGUGAAUACGUUCCCGGGCCUUGUACACACCGCCCGUCACACCAUGGGAGUUGGGUUUACCCGAAGACGGUGCGCCAACCUUUAUAGGGGGCAGCUGGCCACGGUAAGCUCAGCGACUGGGGUGAAGUCGUAACAAGGUAGCCGUAGGGGAACCUGCGGCUGGAUCACCUCCUUUCUAA
rnacentral:rRNA from 1 species